GUAGCAAGCCGGUUCAUCGCUCCGCAAGGAGAGGAAAGUCCGGACAACACAGAGCACCGAACUUCUUGAAAGGGAAGAACUCGCAAGAGGAUAGAUAGUGCUACAGAAAUUUAAACUGCCAUGCUUCGGCACGGUAACGGUGAAAAGGUGCGGUAAGAGCGCACCAGUAUGGGGAGUGAUCCCCAUAGCUUAGGUAAACCUUUCGGGUUGAAAGGCCAUGUAUACCGGCAAUCCCUUUUCGGGAAAGGAAUGGCUCGUUCCGCCGGGGGGUAGGCUGAAUAGAUAAAUGAUGAACGCCUCUUUGAGGUACAGAAUCUGGCUUAUAGGCUUGCUACUUUU
rnacentral:RNase_P_RNA from 1 species